AUUAAUAGUCAUAGAAUUAAAUUUUUUAAUUUAAUUAUAAAUAUCAUUAUAAAUAAUUAAUCAUUGUAUUUUUAGUUAAGUACUAAAAAUGUAAUCAUUGAGUGCAUUAAUAUUUGGCAAGGACAGCAUUUAUGGAAAAUAAAAGGUCACGAAACAGAAAUAACGGGCUUGUCGCUUAGUUCUUCGUGUUCAGGAUUUUUGGUAACCUCAUCUGCAGAUGGAAUAGUUAAAGUAUGGGACGCAUUUUGAGCUCCCAGUUAUUGGAACCCGUUUGGGAAAUAGAAACAAGUCUGGGAGCUAUUCAGUGUCUUCAUUUAUCUCCAAAUAGUCAGUUUACUAUCGCUGUCGGUGGUGACCACAAAUCUCAUAAUUUCAAAGUCUAGGACCUCACGGAAAAUUUGAAUGGAACACUCUCGGUCACAAACUUUGAUUGAACCGGUCCAAAAUGAAGAAUCUGAUGCCGAAAACCCUGAAGAGAUGGAAACUGAUGAAUGAAUUAGAUUU